CCCUUUUGGUUGUUUGGACUGAGGAGACCUAGCCCUGGAGCCUAGAGGCUCUUUGGUGGGGUAAUGGUGGACUCUGGGAGGGCUCACGGUGAGGGCUCAUGCCAAGGAGUACUUCCCAGAACUUCUGCUGCCAGUGUCCUUGUCCCUGUGGUGAGCUACAGCCAUCCCCCAUCUCUGUUGGAGAACUUCCAACACUAGCAGUUUUCCUCCCAUACUGCCAUCAUCCUAGAAACACUGCCUGAGUGCAUCUUCUCUUUCUGCACAUUUUAAGGUCAACUAGUGAGCAUCCUUGCUUGAAUACAAUGAGAACAAGAAGAUGGCCAUUUGCAAACCAGGAAGACAAUUCUCACCAGACGUGGAAUUUACCUUGGUCUUGGACUUCCCAGACUCCAGA